rnacentral:rRNA from 1 species
CGGCAACAGCUCAAAUUUGAAAUCUGGCUCUUCUAGGGUCCGAGUUGUAAUUUGUAGAAGAUGCUUCGGGUGUGGCUCCGGUCUAAGUUCCUUGGAACAGGACGUCUUAGAGGGUGAGAACCCCGUAC